ACUAUAUAAAGCUUUAUACAGAAAAUUUAACAAUAAGGUUUAUUUUAUUUUAAAUUAAAAGCCAUUAGUAUUACUAAAGAAUAUAUAAUAACAUAUAUGGUAAGUUAAUACAUAUAAAAUAUGGUAAGUUACUACAUGUCUAAAUCUAGAAAAUUAUGCAAGAAUAUAUGCAAUCCAUAUAGUCUAUAUUAUAGAAAUAAAAGUUCAACUAAUCCUUUACUAGUAGUAAAAGGUUAGUUGAACAAUUAUUUCUAUAAUAUAGACUAAAUAGAUUAUUUAUAGUCUUGUUUAACUUUAUAUUUUAGACAUAUGACAUGUAGUAACAUGCCAUAUUAGUUUAAAUCAGUUGUAAAAUUAAAAAUGUUAACAUCUUUGAUAGGUAUAUUUAUUUAGGUUAGUUACAGCUAAGUUUACAUGGCUAGUUAAUAUGCUUUUAUAAAUUGCAAUUUUUAUUAAUUUCCAAAUUAAACAUGUGGCAUUCAAUAUCAUAAACUAAGUUUAUACUGGUGUGUUUAUAUUAUUUUAGAUUUUUUUGUUUUAGACACAUGGCAUUUGCUAUCCCACUAAUUUGCUGCUUUAGAGGCAUGGCAUUUAGUGUCACAUUAAUUUACUGUUUUAGACACGUGGCAUGUGGUAUCCCACUACAUUUGGUAUAAGCUGUCAUACUAAUUUGCUGUUUUAGACAUGUGACUUGUAAUAUCCCACUAAUUAGCUAUUUUAAACAUGUGACAAGUGGUAUGACAUUUUUUUAAAAGGUUAGAGACCUUAUUUUCUGCUCCUGAUAGGUAUUGAUGUAUGUAAAAUGUAUAGAGUCUUUCAGUUAUCAGAUAAUGUCAAGAAGUUGACAGCAUGGUGUCCGAUUUAAAGUGCAAACCUGUGUACGAGUAACAACAGUAUUCAAAACCAAAACCUAUUUAAACCAACCAAACCAAAACUAGCGACCAAAAACUAAUAUCUUGGCAUUGGUUUAUUUUAAACAUCUAUUAUAUAUAUGUGUGUGUUUUAUAUAAAUGUACUAGCUUGAGUAUAGUGUAUUAAAAGUAUUUUUUUUAACUAUUUUUAUUGUAAUUUAAAGUA
rnacentral:lncRNA from 1 species